rnacentral:rRNA from 1 species
UACGUAGGGUGCAAGCGUUAAUCGGAAUUACUGGGCGUAAAGCGUGCGCAGGCGGUUAUGUAAGACAGAUGUGAAAUGCCCGGGCUUAACCUGGGAACUGCAUUUGUGACUGCAUGGCUAGAGUUUGGCAGAGGGGGGUAGAAUUCCACGUGUAGCAGUGAAAUGCGUAGAUAUGUGGAGGAACACCGAUGGCGAAGGCAGCCCCCCUGGGUCAAGACUGACGCUCAUGCACGAAAGCGUGGGGAGCAAACAGG